CACGUAGGGCGCAAGCGUUGUCCGGAAUUAUUGGGCGUAAAGAGCUCGUAGGCGGUCUGUUGCGUCCGCUGUGAAAACUCGGGGCUUAACCCCGAGCCUGCAGUGGAUACGGGCAGACUAGAGGUAGGUAGGGGAGAAUGGAAUUCCCGGUGUAGCGGUGAAAUGCGCAGAUAUCGGGAGGAACACCGGUGGCGAAGGCGGCACUCUGGGCCGGAACUGACGCUGAGGAGCGAAAGCGUGGGGAGCGAACAGG
rnacentral:rRNA from 1 species